rnacentral:rRNA from 1 species
UACGUAGGGCCCGAGCAUUAUCCGGAAUUAUUGGGCGUAAAGAGCGUGUAGGUUUUGCUACAAGUCGGUCGUUAAAUCUCAGAGCUUAACUCUGAGACCGCGAGCGAUACUGUAGUAAUAGAGGUUUGCAGGGGCGAGCAGAAUUCUUGGAGUAGGGGUGAAAUCCGUUGAUACCAAGAGGAAUACCAAUGGCGAAGGCAGCUCGCUGGGCAAAACCUGACACUGAGACGCGAAAGCGUGGGGAGCAAACGGG